ACUGGGUUGGCCGAAUGGUUAAGGCGUUGGACUUAAGUUCCAAUGGACAAGUGUCCGCGUGGGUUCGAACCCCACACUCAGUA
rfam:Ciona savignyi cont_23580, whole genome shotgun sequence.